UACGGAGGGUGCAAGCGUUAAUCGGAAUUACUGGGCGUAAAGCGCGCGUAGGCGGCUUGAUAAGCCGGUUGUGAAAGCCCCGGGCUCAACCUGGGAACGGCAAUCGGAACUGUUUGGCUAGAGUGCAGGUGAGGUAGGUAGAAUUCCCGGUGUAGCGGUGAAAUGCGUAGAGAUCUGGAGGAAUACCAGUGGCGAAGGCGGCCUUCUGUACUGACACUGACGCUGAGGUGCGAAAGCGUGGGUAUCAAACAGG
rnacentral:misc_RNA from 1 species